rnacentral:rRNA from 1 species
AAUCAACGCUGGCGGCGUGCCUCAGACAUGCAAGUCGAACGCGAUUUAUAUCUUCGGGUAUAGAUUGAGUGGCGCACGGGUGAGUAACACGUAGGUAAUCUACCUUUGGGUGGGGAAUAACAGCCGGAACGGCUGCUAAUACCGCAUAAAGCAGCGGCAUCACAUGAUGACAGUUGUUAAAGCGGGGGAGUCUGAGAGGACCUCGCGCCAGAAGAGGAGCCUGCGGCAGAUUAGCUAGUUGGUGAGGUAACGGCUCA